UCCCCGUUACCGAGGCAGUCUGACUAGAUAUGUACAACUAGCCACGAGGGUUGCGCUCGUUGAAGGACUUAACCUAACAUCUCACGACACGAGCUGACGACAGCCAUGCAUCACCUGUCACCGAGUUCCUUGCGGCACAGCCCAGUUUCCUGGGCCUUCUCGGGAUGUCAAACCUUGGUAAGGUUCUUCGCGUAUCCUCGAAUUAAACCACACGCUCCACCGCUUGUGCGGGUCCCCGUCAAUUCCUUUGAGUUUUAAUCUUGCGACCGUACUCCCCAGGCGGUGUACUAAGUGGUUUUCCUUCGACCCUGUCGGCGUCAGAGCCUUCAAGGUCUAGUACACAUGGUUUACGGCGUGGACUAC
rnacentral:misc_RNA from 1 species